UGCUUUUUAAGCCCCAUGGAUUGCUCUCAAACCCCCCUAAAAUCCCAAAAUACCCUCGCAAUUGAAACCAGUUUCGUUUGGUAAAUACAACCCGAAAGCAAUUGCGUUCGGUAAAUACGUGACGAACACGCUUGGGUUCGGUAAUUACGUGACGAACACGCUGUGGUUCGGUACAUACGUGCCGAACGGACGUGAGAUACAGUUUUAAACACAAAACAUCUCAUUAGUUACGAUAAUCACAAGUGUUGAAGGUGGAAGGGCGAUUCUCUAGGGUUUAGGGUCGCAAAUUCGAAGGCAAGAAAGAAGAACAAGGUGAAAUUCGUUGACAACAAAUCAUUCAUCACCAACGGUUUGGAUUGCGUUUUUGGAUUCUUUCACUUCAACAAGAAUGACAGAUGAUGUUGGGCGAACAAGAGGUGGAAGGGAAAGUAGAGCACAUGGCUCUGCACGAAGAGAGGCUGCGAAGGGCUCUGCACGAAGAGAGGCUGCGAAGGG